GGGCUUUUGAUUCUAGUAGGGGGUGUAGCUGGCCGUUUCGUUUGAGCGGCAUGUGCACGCCCUGAUCAUUAUCCAUCUUACACACCUGUGCACAUACUGUAGGUCGGCUUGUGACUGGAGGUGGAGUCUUCAUUGAUUCUGCUUUGGUUGGAGGCCUUCCUAUGUUUUAUCACAAACUACUUAAGUUUAAAGAAUGUUACUCUUGCGUCUAACGCAUUUAAAUACAACUUUCAGCAACGGAUCUCUUGGCUCUCGCAUCGAUGAAGAACGCAGCGAAAUGCGAUAAGUAAUGUGAAUUGCAGAAUUCAGUGAAUCAUCGAAUCUUUGAACGCACCUUGCGCUCCUUGGUAUUCCGAGGAGCAUGCCUGUUUGAGUGUCAUGGAAUUCUCAACUCUAUUUGCUUUUGUGAAUAGGGCUUGGACUUGGAGGUUUAUUGCCGGUACUUGUGAUCGGCUCCUCUUGAAUGUAUUAGCUUUGAACCCUUGUGGAUCAGCUAUCGGUGUGAUAAUUGUCUACACCGUUGUUGAGAAGCAAUAUUGUUGGGAUCAGCUUCCAAUCGUCCUUCACUGGACAAAAUAAACUUUGACCUUUGACCUCAAAUCAGGUAGGAUUACCCGCUGAACUUAAGCAUAUCAAUAAGCGGAGGAA
rnacentral:rRNA from 1 species